rnacentral:rRNA from 1 species
CCUACGGGUGGCAGCAGUCGAGAAUCAUUCACAAUGGGGGAAACCCUGAUGGUGCGACGCCGCGUGGGGGAAUGAAGGUCUUCGGAUUGUAAACCCCUGUCAUGUGGGAGCAAAUUAAAAAGAUCGUACCACAAGAGGAAGAGACGGCUAACUCUGUGCCAGCAGCCGCGGUAAUACAGAGGUCUCAAGCGUUGUUCGGAAACACUGGGCGUAAAGCGUGCGUAGGCUGUUUCGUAAGUCGUGUGUGAAAGGCGCGGGCUCAACCCGCGGACGGCACAUGAUACUGCGAGACUAGAGUAAGGGAGGGGGAACCGGAAUUCUCGGUGUAGCAGUGAAAUGCGUAGAUAUCGAGAGGAACACUCGUGGCGAAGGCGGGUUCCUGGACAUUAACUGACGCUGAGGCACGAAGGCCAGGGGAGCGAAAGGGAUUAGAUACCCCAGUAGUC